CCUACGGGAGGCUGCAGUAGGGAAUAUUGCUCAAUGGGGGAAACCCUGAAGCAGCAACGCCGCGUGGAGGAUGAAGGUUUUAGGAUUGUAAACUCCUUUUGUUAGAGAAGAUUAUGACGGUAUCUAACGAAUAAGCACCGGCUAACUCCGUGCCAGCAGCCGCGGUAAUACGGAGGGUGCAAGCGUUACUCGGAAUCACUGGGCGUAAAGGGUGCGUAGGCGGAAUGCCAAGUCAGCGGUAAAAUCGCGGGGCUCAACCUCGCUCCGCCGUUGAAACUGGCGUUCUUGAGUGGGCGAGAAGGAUGCGGAAUGCGUGGUGUAGCGGUGAAAGGCAUAGAUGUCACGCAGAACUCCGAUUGCGAAGGCAGCAUACCGGCGCCCAACUGACGCUGAAGCACGAAAGCGUGGGUAUCGAACAGGAUUAGAUACCCGUGUAGUC
rnacentral:rRNA from 1 species